UACGUAGGGUGCGAGCGUUGUCCGGAAUUAUUGGGCGUAAAGAGCUCGUAGGCGGUUUGUCGCGUCUGCUGUGAAAACCUAAGGCUCAACCUUGGGCUUGCAGUGGGUACGGGCAGACUAGAGUGCGGUAGGGGUGACUGGAAUUCCUGGUGUAGCGGUGGAAUGCGCAGAUAUCAGGAGGAACACCGGUGGCGAAGGCGGGACUCUGGGCCGAUACUGACGCU
rnacentral:rRNA from 1 species